AUGGAGCAGAAGAGGGGCGGAGGACGGCGGGGCCGGGAGGACGGAGGGGCGUGGCCGAGGAGGGCGGGGCAUGGUGGCCGGGGAGGACGGCGGGGCGUGGCACAAGGGAGCGGGGCGCGCCGGUCCCAGGCCGUUGCCGACCUCCAUGGCGGGGUGUGGCUCAGUGGGGCGGAGAAGAGGAGUUGGGGAAGAGGGGAAGGACCGGGGAGGAGGGCACCUGUGCCACCGUCGGACUCCAUGGUGGUUACCGCCGCCACCUACCUGCUAGGUCGCCGCCGCCGCCCGUCUACUACCUGCUAG
rnacentral:rRNA from 1 species